rnacentral:rRNA from 1 species
UUAUAUGAUCAAGUAAAGGAAGAGCACAAGGCGGAUGCCUUGGCAGCAUAAGGCGAUGAAGGACGUAGUAACCUGCGAUAAGCCUCGGGAAGUUGGUAAACAAAUUUUGAUCCGAGGAUUUCCGAAUGGGAAAACCCAAUAUACAUAAGUAUAUUAUCUUAUACUGAAUACAUAGGUAUAAGAAGCAAACCCAGGGAACUGAAACAUCUAAGUACCUAGAGGAAAAGAAAUCAAUUGAGAUUCCGGUAGUAGCGGCGAGCGAAACUGGAACAGCCCUUAAGCUUAUUUUAGUCCAGCAAAAUAUUCUGGAAAGUUUAGCCAUAGUAGGUGAUAGCCCUGUAUGUGAAAGACUAAUAUAAGUGAAAUCGAGUAGGUCGGGACACGUGAAAUCUUGACUGAACAUGGGGGGACCAUCCUCCAAGGCUAAAUACUCUAUGCUGACCGAUAGUGAACCAGUACCGUGAGGGAAAGGCGAAAAGAACCCCGGCGAGGGGAGUGAAAUAGAACCUGAAAUCUUGUGCUUACAAGCAGUCGGAGCAGACUUGUUCUGUGACGGCGUACCUUUUGUAUAAUGGGUCAACGACUUGGUCUGGCUAGCAAGCUUAAGCCGUUAGGUGUAGGCGUAGCGAAAGCGAGUCUUAAUAGGGCGAUUAAGUUAGUCGGAUCAGACCCGAAACCGAGUGAUCUAGGCAUGUCCAGGAUGAAGGUGCGGUAACACGCACUGGAGGUCCGAACCCACAUCUGUUGAAAAAGAUCGGGAUGAGGUGUGCCUAGGGGUGAAAGGCCAAUCAAACUCGGAGAUAGCUGGUUCUCCGCGAAAUCUAUUUAGGUAGAGCGUUAGACGAAUACCCCCGGGGGUAGAGCACUGGAUGGGUAAUGGGGCCACACAGGCUUACUGAUCCUAACCAAACUCCGAAUACCGGGGAGUAAUAUCUAGCAGACACACAGCGGAUGCUAACGUCCGUUGUGGAAAGGGAAACAACCCUAACCUCCAGCUAAGGCCCCUAAUUCAUGGCUAAGUGGGAAAGCAGGUGACACGACCAAAACAACCAGGAUGUUGGCUUAGAAGCAGCCAUCAUUUAAAGAAAGCGUAACAGCUCACUGGUCUAGAUAAGUUGUGCUGCGGCGAAGAUGUAACGGGGCUCAAGCCAUGAGCCGAAGCUGAGGACACUGUAAAGUGUGGUAGCGGAGCGUUCCGUGAUAUAAAUUCAUACGACUUUUAGUGCACUUCCGAGUGCAUUGAUGUCGAGUGAGUUUUUCUGUGAAGCCGGGCUGUAAGGCAUCCGGUGGAGAGAUCGGAAGUGAGAAUGUUGACAUGAGUAGCGAUAAACAGGGUGAGAGACCCUGUCGCCGAAAGUCCAAGGGUUCCUGCUUAAAGCUAAUCUGAGCAGGGUAAGCCGACCCCUAAGGCGAGGCCGAAAGGCGUAGUCGAUGGGAACCAGGUUAAUAUUCCUGGGCCAGGAGAGUGUGACGGAUCACGAGUGUAGUAUGGUCUUAUUGGAUUGAUCGUGCUGCUUAGUGGUUCCUGGAAAUAGCCCUCCAUUAAGAUCGUACCCUAAACCGACACAGGUGGACAGGUAGAGUAUACCAAGGCGCUUGAGAGAACUGUAUUGAAGGAACUCGGCAAAAUACCUCCGUAAGUUCGCGAGAAGGAGGCCCUACGUUUAGGCAACUAGAUGUAGGGGACACAACCCAGGGGGUGGCGACUGUUUACUAAAAACACAGGGCUCUGCGAAGCCGUAAGGCGAUGUAUAGGGUCUGACGCCUGCCCGGUGCCGGAAGGUUAAGAGGAGGUGUGCAAGCACCGAAUUGAAGCCCCGGUAAACGGCGGCCGUAACUAUAACGGUCCUAAGGUA